rnacentral:rRNA from 1 species
UACGUAGGCAGCUGAGCGUUGUUCGGAGUUACUGGGCGUAAGCGUGCGUAGGCGGUGUCUUAAGUUUGUUGUGAAAUCUCCCGGCUUAACCGGGAGGGUGCGGCGAAUACUGAGAUGCUGGAGUGCGGGAGAGGUAAGCGGAAUUCCUGGUGUAGCGGUGAAAUGCGUAGAUAUCAGGAGGAACACCUGCGGUGUAGACGGCUUACUGGACCGUAACUGACGCUGAAGGCACGAAAGCGUGGGUAGCAAACAGG